UUUAAAAAAAUGUAUUAUUUAAAAAAAAUUAGCGCCUAGUGGAACUUUUACCUUUAAUUAACCAAUAUACACCACAACACACAUGGUUUAUGCCUUGAGCAUUAGUUCAGUUAUGCGUACAUUUUGUGAAGCUUUGUUGCUCCAACUUUUGAAGCCAUAUAGUUGAGUUUGUACCUAUCAGUUGUAAUAGCAAAACUAUAUGGUCCUAUUUCAGGUGUAAGAGUCAUUUCCUAUUUCAGGUCUAAGAGUAAGUUUAGAAAACAAAACAAGAAAAGGCUCAGGUAUAUGAGGUCAUACGGAAGAUUCUUAAAAUGUAGGCCAUGUUCGUUUAAAAAAAGAAGGGUAUAUGUUACUGACUUUCGCUUUCAUUUCUGAUCCAUCUGUCAAGGAUAAAUAUUGCGAGCAAGAUCACCGCCCAAAUAUGAACAGUUUAGAAUCUUCAAACUUAUGCAAAGUUCUUCUCCUAACAAAAUCUUGAGAAUUGGAAAUUUUCAUCAGUUGUUUCGAUUAUGUUUUCUUAUUUCCCAUGCCUUAAUUUUUCUAUUGGUUGAUUACAUUCCUCCAGCUAGAACUUAUUUUUAAGCUCAGAACCAUACAGAAGUGGUAGCACUGAAUGUAGGGCCUGUUUGGAUACAAUGGCUAUGCAAGCAGUGACAGUGGAUUGGGUUGUUAAUUCUUCGGGUUUAGGAUUUAUUCUGACUCUAUUAGGAUUUCAGUUAUAUUUGUUCCAAUGUGGGUUAAAACUCCUUACUAUUUCAGUAAAGUGCAUGCUCUUGAUUUUCCCCAUUGACCUUUGUUGCUCUGAAUUUGGCCACCUGGGUAGUGUAGCAGUACUUGUUACAUGCAGAUAGUGUUAGAAAUCAGCACUAAUUCCGACUUUUUUCCGUCAUUGCUGCUUAGCACUCACAUUUCUUCGCUGAAGGAUAGAAUAUGGAGUGAUAGAAGCUUUGGGAAAGGGCUGGAGCUCUAGGGCUUAUGGUGGUUCUGCCUAGAAAUUGUUACAAACAAUCUUGUCCCAGAAUUUAAACAUAACUAAAUCUAGGCUCUUCUCAAAAGCCUCUCACUGUUGAUAUAUAUUGACAUUGUAGUUAACCUGUAUCCUGCUUCGAGUAGUACACCUUAUAUUGUUAGUAUAUAUAAUCACUCAAUGGUUUUGAAUUAAGUUAUGCAUUUCUUCUAUUACACUCUAGCCGAAUCUGAUAAAAGAGAACGCUACAACAACCACUUAAUAAAUUGUCAUAGCUACACAAGCAUGUAAUAAUAUGUACUUAUUGAUAUAUUCUACCAAGGAAUAUAAUUCAAGCUACUUGUCAGUGUUUUAUUUUUGCAGAUGGCGGUGGAUUAUAAUGCUUUGGCGAAAAUAACACCAACCUUAUAGCUAUAUCGAAUAACUCUGACACAAGGUGUAAUGUAUAAGUUCCUUCUUGGAAGAUGUUCUUUUGAGAUUGAUGUCUGGCAGGCAUUAUCUGUCUCUGCAUGUUGCAGACUCCAAUGUAUAUCUUGAGAAAGAAAUUUGCUUGAGUAACAAAGAAGUUUCCCAUAUGAUGUAUAUGGAUUACUUCUAGCAAGGAAUCAGAGCUUGGAACCACAUGCUUAUUCAUUGUUAUUGUUGGCCUAAAACUUAAUAUAUAACUGCUACUCUGCUUCUGCACUUUUGAAAGCUUAGAUUUGUUAAUAUGAUUCAGUUUCUUAAAUUAAAGCUGAUUGUGGACAUCUUUAGUGUCUCUGCCUUAUUAGGAGUGUCAUUUGAUGAUAACGUACUUGCAUUCAAGUUUUUUCGAUGGUAACACCUCCGUCAUAUUGUGAAGUUUUAUAUUAUUAUUCUUAAGAUAUUUGCAAGCCUGUCAAACUGUUUUCUCAAAAUUCCUGCCAUCUUGCAGUGACAAUCCUCAAGCUGAUAAGGAUUCAAAUUAGUUUUCCUUUUUUUGCUGGCUAGUACAGUAACUUUGUGCAUGGAACAUGAUUAUACCACUUUCUGCUGUACAAGAUAGGUUUCCCAAAGGUACAAGUUCACUAAGGUUUGGAAGAUCUUCAAGAUGCUGGAGAUUUGGAAUAUCUACAACUAAGAUGGAGUGAUAAUGUUGUAUGUCUUGUUUGUUGAACCUAGAGAUUUGCUCUGCCCAUUUUGGUGCUUGUUAAGCUCAUUUUGGUUGUGUGGCACACAUUUAGAAACAUAUGUACAUCUCCUCUUGUGGCGGUACUUUAUUCUGGUUGUGGCAAACAUAUAUGUACUCCUUUUGUGAACAA